rnacentral:rRNA from 1 species
AAGUAUAUGCGUUUUCGGAACGCAGAAACUGCGAACGGCUCAUUACAACAGUUAUAAUCUACUUGACCUUUUUUCCUUUGGUUUCUAAGGAUACCUGCGGAAAAGCUGCAGCUAAUACUUGCUCGAUGUCCCUGAUUCGAUUGCAUCGGAAUGGGGGCGGUAUUUGUUAGCUCUGCAAGAAAAAGGAAGAAGGAGGGGAGUACGAACAAAGAAGCGACACGUAUAAAAGAAGAUAGUUCUUUUAUGAAGUGCGGAUCAAUCGAGUUUCUGACCUAUCAGCUUUGGAUGUUAGGGUAUUGGCCUAGCAUGGCUAUGACGGGUAACGGGGAAUUGGAGUUCGAUUCCGGAGAGGGAGCCUGAGAAAUCGCUACCACAUCUAAGGAAGGCAGCAGGCGCGUAAAUUACCCAAUUCUAACGAAGAGAGGUAGUGACAAGAAAUAUCAAUGCACGGUUUGUUUAUAAACUGUGCAAUUGGCAUGGUGGGAACGUACAUCCUUCCCAGAGAAGCCAUUGGAGGGCAAGUCUGGUGCCAGCAGCCGCGGUAAUUCCAGCUCCAAUAGCGUAUAUUAACAUUGUUGCAGUUAAAACGCUCGUAGUUGACUGUCGAGGGUGUGUAACCUCUUGGGGGAACGCCUCUUCUUUCUUGUUCUUAGGAAUAGAGAAGGAGGAGGGGUUCUCUAUGCAGAUACGCCCUUUUCAGGGAAGAUGGUGUAUUCUUGGUUCGCCAAGAAUAGACUGGAUUCUCUGGUUCCUUUGAGUAAAUUAGAGUGUUCCACGCAGGCACGUGUAACGAAGGGGGGCAACCUCCUGCUUGAAUACGGCAGCAUGGAAGAACGGUAUUGAGGAAGUCGAUCGGGGUUUUUCCAUUUUUCUUGGAUCGGCUUUUGAAAUGCGCACGCACGCAUGUACCAACUUGGUAUGUGUUUGUGUGUGUAUAUACGAUUAAUAGGGGUAGCUUGGGGGCCUUCGUAUUCAGAUGUUAGAGGUGAAAUUCUUAGAUUUUCUGGAGACGAACUACUGCGAACGCAUUGGCCUAACAUACUUCCAUUAAUCAAGAACGAAAGUUAAGGGAUUGAAGACGAUCAGAUACCGUCGUAAUCUUAACCAUAAACUAUGCCGACUGGGCGUCGGGCGGGUCUAUUGAAUGGUAUCCCCCAUUCCGUUUAGGUGUAUCUCCUUUGGUGUGGGGUCCUCCUACGGGGUAGGGGAUGCUGUAUACGAACUCCCUCGGUACCCUGAGAGAAAUCAAAGUCUUUGGGUUCUGGGGCGAGUAUUCGCGCAAGCGAGAAAGUUAAAAGAAUUGACGGAAGGGCACCACCAGGCGUGGAGCUUGCGGCUUAAUUUGACUCAACACGGGGAACCUCACUAGUGCCGGACAAGAGCAGGAUGGACAAUACCAAUGCACAUUUCUAUGUGUACGAUUGAAGCUCUUUCUUGAUUUCUUGGUGGGUGAUGCAUGGCCGUUUUUAGUUCGUGAAAUGAUUUGUCUGGUUAAUUCCGAUAACGAACGAGAUCUCGCCCUGCUUAUUAGCAACGGGUGCAAGAGGUGUCAACGGCGAGCUCGAUAGGUCCGUUCUUCAGAAAGGCAUCUUCCCUCCCCCAUGAGAAGCUCUCUUUUUUUUCUAAUCGGAUGGGACUUUGGGUCUGCCGUUAGAGAGAAGAGGUGUUUUUUAUGGGUGUGUUGGGAUAGGUCUGGUAUGGAGGACUGCGUACCUUUGGGUUGGUUGGUUGGGACGCCCCCGGCUUGCUUCUUAGAGGGACUGGGGGUGUAGAAUCCCAGGAAGCUCGAGGCCACAACAGGUCUGUGAUGUCCUUAGAUGCACUAGGCUGCACGCGUGCUACACUGAUGCGUGUAGCGAGUUGUUUUGGGGUGUGCGCGCCCUACGGUCCUGAUUCCUUCGGGGAUGUAGGGUUGUUAGGGGGUGUCACCUGCCUGCUCCGAGAGGAGUGGGGAAUCUGGAGUACGCAUCGUGAUGGGGAUGGACGAUUGCAAUUAUUCGUCUUGAACGAGGAAUGCCUAGUAAGCAUGAUUCAUCAGAUUGUGCUGACUACGUCCCUGCCCUUUGUACACACCGCCCGUCGCUCCUACCGAUUGAAAGAUAUGAUGAAUUGUUCGGACUGCGUGUGGCCCGGGGUAUUAUUACUUUGGGUGGGACGUGGGAAGAACCGUAAAUCCUAUCUUUUAAAGGAAG